GACGAACGCUGGCGGCGUGCCUAAUACAUGCAAGUAGGACGCAGUUGCGAACGGGUGAGUAACGCGUAGGUAACUACCUAUUAGAGGGGGAUAACUAUUGGAAACGAUAGCUAAUACCGCAUACUAGUAGAUGGACCUGCGUUGUAUUAGCUAGUAGGUAGGGUAAUGGCCUACCUAGGCAACGAUACAUAGCCGACCUUGGAGGGAUAUCCGGCAAAAUUGGACUUGGACACGGCCCAGAAUCCUUCGGGAGGCAGCAAUAGGGAAUCUUCGGCAAUGGGGGGAACCCUGACCGAGCAACGCCGCGUGAGUGAAGAAGGUUUUCGGGUCGUAAAGCUCUGUUGUUAAGGAAGCGGUACUUAACGAUAAAGGGACGGCUAACUACGUGCCAGCAGCCGCGGUAAUAC
rnacentral:rRNA from 1 species